UGAAACUUUGCAUUCACACACGGGCCUCUAUGAGACCCAGUGACCAAUUUUUGCGGACCCUUGCGGAAGCAAGGGCG
rfam:Haemonchus placei strain MHpl1 genome assembly, scaffold: HPLM_scaffold0001365